AGAAGAAAAAAAGAUGAUCCUUUUUUCCCCCUAGUCUUUUAUCUCCCCCUCUAAGACUGUUGCUUUCAGUCCUCUGUCGAAUGCAUCCAUUGCUAAAGGAGCCAGAGGGUGCCAUAAAUCCAGGCAGCCAGAAGCAAUGCCUCUUGCCCCCUCCUCAUCCAACAGGCGCCUUUGUUCCCACUGCUGGUGAUUUAUGGCUCUCAAGUUGGGGCUGUUCCCUAGAACACUGUCCCCCCUUGUCCCCAAGCGGCGGUGAAGGUACUGGAAAGAGGAGAAGGGGAAAUCCCAUGGAAGAAGUGAAGAGUUGGGAUGGGGGUUGUGAAGCCAGACCUGCUGCCCUAUGGGCAGUGCCCAGCUCUCUGUCUCACUGCACCUGAAAAUCUGCCUCUGUGCUGGGGCAUCAUGCAGGAGGGUGAGUCACAGUCAGGGUUUUGUUCCUCCUCCUCACUCCCCUCCCCUGGAUUUAGUUAAGCUUCGUGUCACGGAUAAGAGGAAAAGGAAAACAGGGAGAGGGGAAGCGACGCAAACUGUAAAAACAGUGAAGGAAUCCUCCAGCUCCCUGGGGAGCUCAGGAAUGGGAAUGAGGGCCUACAUUUUCCAACGGGAAGCACCAAGGGAAAAAUAAACUCUCCAGAUGAGCCGGAGAGCUCUUAGAAGCAGGCAGGUCCACACCACCAGGAGCAGAGCACCUGCAUGACCACAACCUUUCUACGUUGGUGAAGCUCCAUGGUGUGUGACGUGUGUGAGGACUGAGGCACAGCACAGGGCCUCUGUUGUUCCUUGUAGCUCUCCUGGGGCAGUGCUUACAGGCAGUGAAUUGAGGCAAAACUUCAACCAGGGGGAGAAGUAAAUUGUAACCCUACAGGAGAAUGUCCAGUGCAGCUGGCCCAGAUGAUGCACUGAUGUCCUCACAAAGGCUAAAUCUGGAUGCGCAACCCUUCUCCAAGAGGAUUCCUGUUGCUGAGCUGAGCUCCUCGCCCCUCACUUCUGCUGAGAUUUCUCUGUCAAGGCUGGGACUGAGCACACAGCUGAGCUGCUGCCAAGCUCCCAUUUCGGAGGGCAGCUCGGAGCCCCGUUCUGUGGCGGGGCCGCAGGGGCUGUUGGCAGUGAGGUGAGCAGCUGUGCAGUAAGACAUGGUUGCAUCAUGGAGGUGGAUCUAGGUGCGGCCCCACGGCGGGCUGUUCGUGCCUUGGGGCUACUCUUUGCUGCGGUGUCUGACAGCUGCUGGCAGGUAAGGGCUGGCCAGCAGGAUCAGCGCUGUCUGAAACACAAACCAGAAAAAGCUGCCGUGGGGCAGGGAUGGGUGCGUGCUGGAGCCUUCUUGACAGCUGGAUUUCCUGUGCUGCUGCCAAGUCCCCACAGUGGAUCUCCCCGCAAUCCCCGUGCAGCUCCUGGACUCGGCUGCUCGUCUGCAAAAUGAGGAAUUUGGGUAAAUUUGGGGUGUGGGAAGAGUGUGCCUCACGUGGGUGAGAGGUGGAGAUGCUUCUGCUCCAACUCCACUGCCUCCUAUCACACCAUGGUCUAUGAGGCAGAAGUUACUGGGAUCGCACCGGUCGGAUCUCCAUGAGUUUUCCAAGGGAAGCCCUGGGCAGACUAAAUAAGGCUGUACUCUCCCCUUUCUUCUCUGGAAAUUCCUCAUGUGUGUGGCUUUUCCACCCAGUCUGCAUGCCAUAGCAAGGGAUCCAGUUCGGGUAGCUCCUGCUCUCCCAGUCUGGACCACAGCAGAGCUGCUGUGCCUAUGGCCCAGCUUACACCACGUGUCCUCCCAGGGCUUUUGGCACGUUCUGGAAGUGAGUAAAACCAAGAGAAGAGCCAAAGACCUGAAGCAAACACCAUGGCACUGCUUCCUGAGUAACUGGGACCACAGGGCUGGAGGAUGCCCAUGAAAGAGGAGUGGGAAGAGAAGAAGCCAUGUCCCAUGGCUGAGAGGUGAGGACACCCAGACACUAAGGCUGCUAUGCAUGGGAGAAGGACGGGAGGUGUCUCUGGAAUGUUAUUCCCCACUGCUGGGGCAUUUUGCAGCUGAUGGGCCAUGCUGCUGAUGCUCGUGCAAGGGAAACCCUGGGAAAGACCCCUGGGACUGGCUCGUGGGAACGGGCUGGUGCAGACCCCCUGUGGGGCCACUUCCCAGGGCCAGUGCCAAUUCUGACACCUCCUCCCAGUACCCUGCUGUGCCCCCACUCUGCUCCCGUGCAGCCUGCAGCCUCCUGCCAGCCUGGGGCUUCCGACCCAUGGCCGCAGCACGGGGAAGGGAGGAUGGCAAACUUCACACCAACGUGUCAGGCCGGCUCCCAGCACACCUCCCUCUCCUUCUGCCUUGGAUGUUGUUGUGAACACAUCAGUGGCAGUAAAGAGGUUAAUGGGAGCGGGAGGAGGGAGGGGGGGGGGAGAGUGAAGCUGUUCCCAUGAACCGGCUCCAAGGCUUUUACAGAAGUGGAGCAUCUGGCCAUGGGGCUCAUUUGCCCUGGAGCAGAUGGUCCUGUCCUCUGUCCCAGGCCUGGGCAAUGGGCUGUGGCUGAUGCUGAGUCCAAAGAGCCUUUUGUCACUUGGAGAUUUCGCAGAAGGCUGCACUGAGCCCCACGGAGGAGGGGAGAGGGGCUGGAAAGAGAUCCCAGGGAGAGCUCAGCCUAAAUAUGCUCUUGUAAGGUAUUUUUUUUAAGCCUCCUAAGCUCAAUGCUGACCCCUUAACCCACAGCCCCACCGCUGGUCUCACACGGUCCAAGUAUGCCCUGAAGGCUGCUUUGGAACUGUCUUUAUCUACAGAAGGGAAAUGCACAGAGCAAUGCAUUGGGUGGAGAACAUCCUAGCCAAGGGUGCCACAAAAAAAAGAUUUACAGUGUGAUGGUUCAGUGCUACGAGCAGAGCUGUGCUUAGCUGGCUCCUGGAUUUCCCCAGAGCUGCAUGGGAGGUUCCCAUGCCAGUGGUUGCUGGGCAAGGCUGGAGCACCAUCCUGGAGCAAGACCUCAGCAUCACACUCCACUUCGUUUUCUCUGUGUGGUAGGAGGUGUGACAUCCAUCUUUGGUGUCUGGAGAACACUGCAAUCAGCUGCCUUGUGUUUUGGACCUGUCCCUGAAAACAGAGUGGCCAGGGGGACAGCCAAGGUGCUCUCAUCCCAGUGUUUCCUUCAGUCUGUGCAGGCCAGGCUCCACCUCCGUCCAUGCUGGAGAAUAGGCUCCUUGCUUAUCCCUCUCUGAAGACAGAGUUGAUCUGCCUGAUUCACCCCUAUCUGGGCCUGCAAACUCCAGAAAAAUAGCUGUGGGCCAUCUCCUCUGCAGCUGUGACAUAAUUAUUGCUAUCAGAGAUUGAAACAAAACCUCCCUUUGCUCUCUGUGCACUGCAGCCCUUUCUCAGCACUGCACUCUGUUCUGGAGCUGGAGCCCUGAAACAGCCCUCACCUUUUCCAAAUUUCUACCCCAGGGCUGAGGAUGUGAUGUCCUUCUCUUGACUCUGUUUUGUCCUUCCUUAGAGGACUUGAUACCCCAAUGCCUUUUCUCUUCUUGCUUCUUAAAGCAGUGGCCCAUCCUUGCCAAUGCAGAAUGGUAUAGUUUUGAAGAUAUCCCAUUGCUGGAGUCCUGAGCCUGUCCCAGAGACCCGUUGGUGCCCACAGAGGUGGGAGAAAUGGCUGAGGCUGCCUUCAGGUGAGCCUCCUGAGAAACCGUCACUUCCUCCAUCCUUUUGCCAAGAAUAAAGAGAAUUGAUAACAUCUGCAACUUUGCCAACACGUUCUUCAGCCCUCUGGGUCUCUGAGCAUCCAGGACAGCUGUAAGUUAUUCUUGGAGAGCCUACAUCCUCCCAUCCCGCUGGAUUUUCCUACCUUGGCUCCACCACGUCCCAAAGGGAGGACAAUGCUAGUUCAGAUCUUCCUCUGGACGCCUGUUUACUGGAGCAGGGGAGCAGUUUUCCAGAUGUUCUGGAGGGAAGUGGCUCCAUCCAGGGACCUGCCCAUUGCACACUUUGUGUCCUCGCUAAGACAUCUUUUCCUUGCAUGGAGGAUGCGUGUGUUCGGCAGCCGGCUUGGCUUGCAUCAGCUUGGAACUGCUCCCAGACACCUCAGCCAGGGCUGCACACUCGCACAUGUCACGGCGGCUGCAGGCUGGUGGCCUCAGGGAGAGACUGGCUUCCUGCUCCAGAUCUGCAGCACAGACCAUUCUGCUCAUCCUAGAGCAUCUCUCCCUUCCCAGAUCAGGUCACCUUCCCAGUCAGCCACCCUGGAUGGCACACACCCCUAUGGUGUCCCCCACUGUCCCCGUUGUCUCCAGCACUCUCACUUCCAUCAUUUCUCACCAAACCCAUCCUGCUGGAUCACACCAACCCCUCUGUGUGGGGUUGCAGCAGAGUGCUGCUCUUCCUCAAAGCUGUAGAAAGGAAUGGCCUGGUUUGGAGAACUGAGAAUAAUAGAAGGAAAUGCAACGAGUUGAAGUGCAGUAGGAAGAGGGUAUCUAGCUGCUAAAGACAACAGGGGAAAGUCAAUGGCAAACAGCUGCAGUGCAGAUGCUGAGCAGAAACAAAAGUCUCUCCAAGGGCGGGCUGCAACUAAGCAGCAGAUGCAGCCUGGGAUGAGCGAAUCACUUUAUCGCAGAGUGAGGAGAUCAUCUGUCACCUUAAGCAAAACCAGUGUGUCACAAAUGGAAAACUGCAAAUUCUCAGUGACAGUGUGCUGCGGAGCAGAGAAACCACAGAUGAUGCUGAGGAGUGGAGCCAGGACACUGAGCCAUGCGGGGGAAACCCUGGGCAGGAGGAGAAAUGUCUUGAUCCAACUGCAUCCCACAUUUAGGUUAAGCCAGUAAACAGCUCUAUUUGUUCUCAAGCACUUCAGUGUUUCAUCUGGCCAGGAUAUUAACUGUGAUGAAAAGUCUGUCUGAACCCAGAACAGAGACUCAACAAAGAGGAGGGAGGAAUCGAUCUGUGAGCACAAGAAGGCUGGAGAUAAGGGUUCGGUUAUGGGUUGCGUGAUGCUGGUGAGGCAGUGCAAAGCCAGCACUGACUUUAUAGGGACUGAAUGCAGUCAGGAGCUGUAGUAUAUCAGAUAUUUUAACUGGACUGGGGAGGGGUGCUGGUUUCUUUGGGAGGAAGAGGCACAGCAGGCUCCUCAGGCUUGUUGGUGCUCCUGACAGCAUCCCACCUCGAUGGGCAGGGUCACACCAGACUGUGAUGCUGGCAGCCCUGUACCUCCCCAUGCCUUUUUCCACUGAUCACUGAGUUUUUGAGUUGUUUCUAUUUCCUCAGUGCAGAACCAGGAAUGAGAGGAUGCACCCUCCUCCUCCAUCCAUAUUUUUAUACGGUGAUCAGCAAUCACCAUCCAUUCCUCAGUGGAAUGUGUGUGUCUCACCCUCUCCAUCUCCACGCUCAGGCUUGGGGCUGCUUGCCAAGGGCACAGAGCUUCCAUGCAUACCUGCUCUUCUACAGACAUCUGAGUAGAGAAGAGAUAGUGCUGGCAAGCAGAUGUCGGCAGCUCCUUGCUGGGAGCAGUCCCUCUGGACGUGUCGGGUCGGCCAGGAGCACCGGUGCCUUUCAGCAUUGUCCUAAAACUCCCAGCCCGAAUCGUGCCGCGGGUUCCCACAGCUGCACUCACAAAGGAGACACAACGGGCUCCUCUGGGGACAAAA